rnacentral:rRNA from 1 species
UACAGAGGGGCAAGCGUUGUUCGGAAUUACUGGGCGUAAAGGGCGCGUAGGCGGCCUUCUAAGUCGAACGUGAAAUCCCCGGGCUCAACCCGGGAACUGCGUCCGAUACUGGAAGGCUUGAAUCCGGGAGAGGGAUGCGGAAUUCCAGGUGUAGCGGUGAAAUGCGUAGAUAUCUGGAGGAACACCGGUGGCGAAGGCGGCAUCCUAGACCGGUAUUGACGCUGAGGCGCGAAAGCCAGGGGAGCAAAGCGGGAU